GACAACUUAAAGGAGACACGUGAUGCUCUGUCAGUGUGUAACCUGGAUAUGAGCAGAAUAAGUCUCCUUAAUAAAGUGUUU
rnacentral:pre_miRNA from 1 species